rnacentral:rRNA from 1 species
GACGAACGCUGGCGGCGUCUUAACACAUGCAGGUCGAACGGAAAGGCCCUGCUUUUGUGGGGUGCUCGAGUGGCGAACGGGUGAGUAACACGUGAGUAACCUGCCCUUGACUUUGGGAUAACUUCAGGAAACUGGGGCUAAUACCGGAUAGGAGCUCCUGCUGCAUGGUGGGGGUUGGAAAGUUUCGGCGGUUGGGGAUGGACUCGCGGCUUAUCAGCUUGUUGGUGGGGUAGUGGCUUACCAAGGCUUUGACGGGUAGCCGGCCUGAGAGGGUGACCGGCCACAUUGGGACUGAGAUACGGCCCAGACUCCUACGGGAGGCAGCAGUGGGGAAUAUUGCACAAUGGGCGGAAGCCUGAUGCAGCAACGCCGCGUGCGGGAUGACGGCCUUCGGGUUGUAAACCGCUUUCGCCUGUGACGAAGCGUGAGUGACGGUAAUGGGUAAAGAAGCACCGGCUAACUACGUG